GGUGGCUCGCGCGUCGGCUGUCACCUUCGGCCUCGUCUACGGCAGCGUCAAGCUCUCCUACCUCCAGGUCCUCAUAAAGGGGCGUUUAAGCAUGAUAUUUUUGACGUAAAGAUGGCUUGCGUAGCUCACUAGGCUGGUCAUUUGCUUACGUUAGUAGGAGUUAGGCAAAAGCAAAGCGGCACAAGAAAGCAGAGGCAAAAGGUCACCACUAAUAAGAAGGAUGUGACCUGCUAUGCUCCCAUUCAUAUUCUGAAUCUCAAUUGUUGCAAACUUUUUGUUAGUAUAUUUCUCCCCUACAUGUUGGUUCAUGGUUUUCUUGUGCAUGAGAUCACAGUGUGCCCAAAAAAGGUGGUUUCUUUAGCAUAUUUUUUUUACUUCAAUAAUUGAUUUUUAAUUGUGACAGUCUGGAUCAUCCUUUAUUUUACAUUAAAUCUGCAUAUAUAAUCUCUCUGUCACCAAAGGCUGGUGCUUCGACUUCAUACAUGUGUUGGAUUACUCGCACUGUUGGUUGAGCACUCUGCUUCCAUUAUCAAUAUAAUAUUGAAUUUUUUAGGGAUAGAAGAGAGGACAACUCUUUCUUGUUUUCUUCUUCGCCACCUCUGCAUAAGGAUAAAAGAGAGGAUAUCUCUACUCUGUCCUCUUCUUCCUCACCUCUGGCAAGGGUCCAUUGUUGUCAUUGCAUCUCUCAUUUUUAACAUCAGUAGAAGGAGAUGAUAAGAGAGGCUUUGUCCUCUUUUUCCAUCUGAACAUGGAGAAGGCCUGCAGCCCUCUCUGCUCUCCAUCCUUAGUACUAUCGAAUUACAGUGCUCUCCAUCGUUAGUUUGGAACGAAACAUGCAAGGAUGAAAUUAAUAUAAACAGAAAAGUGUGUAGAGACUAGAGACUGAGUUAAAUAUACGGUUAAAGUACAUGGAUCAUUAGAACUAUUUCUCCUGCUAGUAUCUGGCAUUAGCUGAACCAUAAAAACCAAAGCUGGAAUUGGUUCUUGUCUCAUCAGUGUAAACAUUUGUCUGUCAUACAUUUAUGACCAUCUUAACUUGCUGGACAUAUAGUAACGUUCAUUUCUGUUGUCUGUUUGCGGCAAUUUGCUUCCAACCACAUUACUAUGUUUGUCUAGAAUGAAGAGGGAGCACUAAGACGGCAUUGCAGUUGAGGCAUGAUGUUUUUUUGAAGGGGAUUGACUAAUAUUCUGUAUCUGGUUGAAUUAUCAUUUACUUUGCAAGAGUGUUUUAUCCAGAAAGUAUUUGGAUGAUGAGUUGAUGAUUAAGUUCCGUAACAAAGAAGAGCCUCCUCCAUGAA